UUCCGGUUGAUCCCGCCGGACCCGACUGCUAUUUGGGUGAGAAUAAGCCAUGCGAGUUGAAUGGGAUACCUAAAGUUCCCAUAGCAAACUGCUCAGUAACACAUGAUCAACUUACCCUAUAGAGAAAAAUAACCUCGGGAAACUGAGGAUAAUGUCUCAUAAUUGAAUUGGCUUGGAAAAGUUUUUCAAUGAAAAGGAUAAAAAAAAUGGUUUUUAUCUGCUAUAGGAUAGGAUCGUGUUCGAUUAUGGUUGUUGGUGAGAUAAUGGCUCACCAAGCCGAUAAUCGAUAGGGGCCGUGAGAGCGGGAGCCCCGAGAUGGGUACUGAGACAACGACCCAGGCCUUACGAGGCGCAGCAGGCGCGGAACCUCCGCAAUACACGAAAGUGUGACGGGGUUACCCAAAGUGUUCAAUAGAACUGUGGUAGGUGAGUAAUGUUCCCUACUAGAAAGGAGAGGGCAAGGCUGGUGCCAGCCGCCGCGGUAAAACCAGCUCUUCAAGUGGUCGGGAUAAUUAUUGGGCUUAAAGUGUCCGUAGCCGGUUUAGUAAGUUCCUGGUAAAAUCGGGUAGCUUAACUAUCUGCAUGCUAGGAAUACUGCUAUACUAGAGGGCGGGAGAGGUCUGAGGUACUACAGGGGUAGGGGUGAAAUCUUAUAAUCCUUGUAGGACCACCAGUGGCGAAGGCGUCAGACUGGAACGCGCCUGACGGUGAGGGACGAAAGCCAGGGGAGCGAACCGGAUUAGAUACCCGGGUAGUCCUGGCCGUAAACGAUGCAUACUAGGUGAUGGUACGGCCAUGAGCCGUAUCAGUGCCGUAGGGAAACCGUUAAGUGUGCCGCCUGGGAAGUACGGUCGCAAGGCUAAAACUUAAAGGAAUUGGCGGGGGAGCACCACAAGGGGUGAAGCCUGCGGUUCAAUUGGAUUCAACGCCGGGAAUCACUAGUGCGGCCG
rnacentral:rRNA from 1 species